CCAUCUCACCCGCAUCGAUGUUUCUCUUACAGAAAAGACCCCGGCCGUGAAUGGGAGACCUAGGGCACAAAGACGGAAAAGAGAUCAGCCACGGAUUUUGCAAAUCUGGUUAACUGUGUGAACACAUGAAUAAAUGACUAAAACCUCCUGGUCUGUUAGUUCCCCAGGAAGGACAGACACUUGAAGAGAAAAAAAGAAUCUGGACCCACUUGAUUUGAGGGGUAUAUUCAUUGUUUUAACAAACGGCCAAGGAAAGAUUUCUUGCACUCUGUAACAUACUAGAAGUAGCAGUAUUUUAAUGCUCACUAUGUUAAGUUCCUUGUUCAACACAAGGAAGUACAGGAUCUCAGAACAUCAGGUUCCAUCAACAAUAGCGAGAAAAACCUCACUUACUGAAGGGGGGGGGGGUCAUUCCAGCAUUUGGUUCCCUUUGACUUUGGAAAAUGAUAAGUUUCAUAUAAUUCUUUCUACAAUUUUAGCCAUACCUGUAGACACCGACUGCCUCCUUAGAAGUCUUCUUUAAAUGCCGGAAACGCAUGGGCAUCGGCAGGUCCAUACUUGUUGCCCUCCUAAAGAGACAGGCAUAUUACUAAUGAGUUCUCUUCAGGAGAUAAUCAGUUUUGAGUCUUGGAUCAAAGGUUCCUAGAGAAUAUGACUGCACUGUUUUCUUUGCUCAGUGCCAAGCACAACAAGUGUCUUAUAAAAUUAGGCCUAUAAUUGGGGCGCCUGGGUGGCUCAGUAGCUUAAGCGGCCGACUUCGGCUCAGGUCACGAUCUCGCGGUCCGUGAGUCCGAGCCCCGCGUCGGGCUCUUUGCUGACAGCUCAGACCCUGGAGCCUGUUUCAGAUUCUCUGUCUCCCUCUCUGACCCUCCCCCGUUCAUGCUCUGUCUCUCUCUGUCUCAAAAAUAAAUGUUAAAAAAAAUAUUAAAAAAAAAAAUUAGGCCUAUAAUAUACAUAGUACUUGACCAUGGGGACUAUGGUGAUACGUCCAGAGCUGACAGGGUAUAUACACUUUGGUUAAAGAAAAUGAAAAAUGGCCUCUUAGCGUUGUCUGAAUUUCUCCUCUCCAACACAUUUCUCUCUGUGCCAGCCCGCUUACUGCUACCUUACUCUUGAUCUCAGCCAAAGGGCCAAGAAGCAAUGCUGCUACCUUGACACAAACUGUAUUUCAUACUCUUCUUAGAUGUUAUCUGGGAAACUGUGACACGAGCAAACCCACACAGUGCCCUGAACAGCCAGAGUAGAGGGGAGCAAAGAGUGUUCCUAACGACCCUUCAACUCCAGACUUACCGAGCGGACUUCAGCUGUACCUCCUCCUCCUCCUCAUCAUUAGGGUUGUAUUCGGGAGGCUGCCGAUGUUUAGAAGCCAGGAAGUUAAACAUGUCAAAUGCUGACUUCCUGGAGCCAAAAGAUGAAAACGUGUUGUAACAGAAAGGCUUUAACAGAAGCAGUGGACAGCUUUGAUGCUGGAAAUCUCAAAGGUCGCGUGGGAAAAUAAUGCCAUCAUACGUAAAAAUAUAGGGACCCGAACCUGCUUCCGAAAGAGAAUGGAACUUGCCUCAGGUGAACUUCGGCCCUGGCCGAGCCAUGAGGGUUCAGGGGGGGUUCGUUGGCCUCCUCCGGUUUGUGGAAACGGAAUUUGUAAUUCCUGCAGUGCUUGGCACCAGAGAGCUGCUCAAUCAGGAACACGACCGCAUCGUGAAGAAUCCCCAGCAUCCUCAAGCCGUUAACACCUGUCGGACAGAAGGCACCAGGGUAGUGAGGGCGCAGUCAACAGGAGACUGCCUGGUAUUAAAGAAAUGCUUGAGGGGCGCCUGGGUGGCUCAGUCAGUUGAGCGUCCGACUUUGACUCAGGACAGGAUCUCACAGUUCGUGGGUUCCAGCCCCGCGUCGGGCUCUGUGCUGACAGCUCGGAGCCUAGAGCCUGCUUCGGAUUCCGUGUCUCCCUCUCUCUCUGUCUCUCCCCUGCUCAUGCUCCCUCUCUCUCAAAAAUAAACAAACAUGUAAAAAAAUCAAAAGAAAAAUGCUUGAGCUAGAGAAGAGCUCUGCCAGAGGCUGCUCGGGGGUGAACUGCAUUAAAGACUAGCCAAGAAUUAGCAUUAACUAGCCAUUAGGAUGACACAGACUCAGAUCUACCAAUAUGGAAAAUGUUCACGAUUAAGUGAAAAAAAAAAACAAAACAAAACAAACACCACCAAACUGUUUUCUAUGCUCUUAUGUACACAGAUAGGUUGUAUGUGUUAUUUCACUUCGUGGUCUUAAUGCCCACAUGAGGCAGAGGUCACCAGCUGCAUUUUCAGGUCAGUAAAUCUAGGCUCAGAGAAUUUAAACACCACACCCGAGGUCACUGCUAGUAGGACGAGCUCUGAACCUUGGACUGGAGAGCUUCAACCGUGAUCCCAUUUUUGUUUAUAGGUUAAUGGGGUAACUGGGUUCUCUAACUUCACACUCACAUAGAUACUUCCCUAAAAUGUAAAAGAAUGGCUAGCAAUAAGCCCCUAGCACGGAACUCUCUUUUGUUGUUGUUAUAGUGAGCAUAUGGAGUAGUACGCUUGAGAGGUGCUUACUCACUUAGUCUCAUGACAUUAAUGAGCAUUUCUGAUUUUAGUUUACAAAAAUUACACUUACUAGUUCUUUAAUUUUUUUUUAACGUUUAUUUAUUUUUGAGACAGAGAGAGACAGAGCAUGAAUGGGGGGAGGGUCAGAGAGAGAGGGAGACAGAAUCAGCAGGCUCCAGGCUCUGAGCUGUCAGCACAGAGCCCGACGCGGGGCUCGAACUCACGGACCGCAAGAUCACGACCUGAGCCGAAGUCAGACGCUCAACCGACUGAGCCACCCAGGCGCCCCUACACUUACUAGUUUUUUAAUGUUUAUUUUUGACACAGAGAGAGAGAGGGAGAGAGAGGGAGAGAGAGAGAGAGAGAGAGAGAGAGAGAGAGAGAGAGAGAGAGAGAAUGAGUGGGGGAGGGGCAUAGAGAAUCCAAAGUGGGCUCUGUACUGACAGCAGAGACCUUGAUGCAGGGCUUGAACUCAAAGACUGUGAGAUCAUGACCUGAGCUGGUCAGACGCUUAACGGACGGAGCCAUCCAGGUGCCAUUAUAAAAAUAACAUUUAUAUAAGUUGUGGGCAUAGAUGGUGAAAGUCCUUCUGAACUGUCUCCUUGCAUUAAAGGGAUGGGGCAAUUCCACUACUUUGACACUGGAAAUAGCUAAUGUUGGGGACGCCUGGCUGGCCCAGUCAGUAGAGCAUGUGACUCUUGAUCUCGGGGUUGUUAAGUUUGAGCCCCACGUUGGGUGUGGAGAUUACUUAAAAGUAAAAUCUUAAAAAGAAAAAUCAUAUAUAUAUAUAUAUAUAUAUCAUAUAUAUCAUAUAUAUAUAUUUACUUUGAGAGACUGAGCACCUGACACCAGGCUUCAUCUUAGGACAUCAAGAUCACUACUUGAGCCAGUAUCAUAACCGGCUGAGCCACCCAGGAGCCCCAAAAUAGCCAAUGUUCUUUACAUUUUUAUAAAGUCAACAAUAUUCUUUCAUUGCAAUAUUGUUUUUGGUAUUAUUAACAGAUAUCAAGACAAGGGUGUCUGUUGUGCUAGGAUCACACGCACAAUUCCAACAGUCACACCCUUUGUGCUAUGAAGCAUAUUUAGAGAUGCAACCUCAGUGUAAUUUGGGGACUGAGUGUCAUGCCUGGGAGGCUAUCUGGGUUUAAAUGUUGACAAGGAUUACUUCUGGGGGAUGGGACCCUGACUACCUUUUACUUUGUUCUUGCGGUUGCUUUUUCAUAUUUUAAAAUUCAUCUAUGUCCCUGAUAAUUUUUUGAGAAGAGUGGAAAGUUACUAUUAGUUGCCUGAUUCUUAUUUCACUUAGAGAAUUUCUAAGGGAGAUCAUUUGGUUUCAAUGCAAGUAGAAGGUUCAGUCUUCAGUCACGUUCUUUGGACACAACUGUGUUCCAGUUAGAAUUCAACCUAAGUAUACAACUCAAGCCUCCAUUAGAAGAGCUUAUAAGCCAAUUAAGAUAAUGGCAAACAUCUUUUCUUUCCCCACACAACACUGAUUUUCCCCAAGAAAUUUUUUCCUAGGAAUUUUAGAUUGUUGUGGAUUCCUAGGCAGAAAAAGACACUGGAAAAACAUACUUAUUUCCAUAGAAAGUUCAUUUUUAUACUUAGACUGAGUGUUCAACUCUACUUUCACUGGAGGGCUUAAAGCGAGAUUAAAUACUGUGUCAGUAAUGGGGAGAACAAAGAUGAAUUUGAACAAAGAAACGGCCCCCAUUCUCAAGCUCUUGGAAGAGAGAGGCCAACAGGUACCCAAGUCACACACUGUGAAAGUAUCCAAAUAAAGGUACAGUAUAAAAUACUGCGGGAGCAAUCUCUUCUGUUGUGGACGAUUCAUUCACUCAUGCAACAAAUAUUUCCUGAGCACCUACUAUAUCCCACAUUUUCUUUCCAUCGUUCUGCUGUGCCAGACACAGCCUGGGAAUACAGAGGUGAACGAGACAGGCAAACACCUGUAUUUAUGGAGCUUUUAUUUCAUGGAAGAGACAGACAAUAAACACACCAAAGGUAUUCCCACUUUAGGGCUUUUUUCUGUGCUGUUUCUUCUGCAUUGAGGGCUUUUACUCUACUUGUCGCAUGACUCGCUCCUUCUUGUCAUCACUCAGGCCUCAGCUUUAUUUAAUGUCAUCUCUUCAAGAAACUCCUUUCCUGACCACUCUAUCUAGAGGAGGCUCCCUGCCACCAGCUACCCACCCUGUGCACUUGAUUUCAUUCUUCAGAGUACUUAUCUCUGCCACUAGAUAUAAAGUCGUGAGGCAAGGACCUCGUUGUGAAGGGGUCAAUGGAUUGGAAACCUUGGAGAGCAGGCCUGAGUCUGCUUCUACUCAGCAGUUAUAUCCUAAGUGUCCAACAUGACGCCAGGCACAUUCAAGGGUUCAGUAAUAUUUUUAAAUAACCAACAUUUAAGGGCCGAACACUUUAUUCUACAAUUAGUAGGCAACCAGAGAAGCUUCUGAGGUACUUCUGGGGACACUGAGGAUUUACCACCAGGAGGCGACGGGAGACUCAGGGACCAUUUAGAAGGCUUUCUGAGAUUACUGGUGAGAGAAUGACAAAGGCUAUUCCUGAGGAAAGAAGGAGACAGAAGAAGGGAACAUGACUCAUACUUUUGGGGUAGAGUCAAGGGCAGCGACCAACUGGAUGUGAAUGGUGAGGGAAAGGAAAGAAGUCAAGAUUUACCGGACUCUUUUGGCUUGAGAUAUGAGGGAUGGUAGGAAGACUGGAUGAAUCACAGGAGUGUAAUGCGAGAGGGUGAGAAUGGCUGAACAAGCCUAGCACAAGGGUAGAGUGAGGGGCAGAGGCUGAGAACCUAGGAGAACCCGAACUCUUUUUGUCUUUUCUUUUUCUUUUCUUCUUAUAUACAGUACUACAUUAGUUUCAAGCAUGUCACAUAAUGAUUCAACAAUUCUAUACACUACUCAAUGCUCGGAAGAUCUUUUUAAAAGUUUAUUUGCCAUCUGCUUUUUUAACAACUGCACUUGAAUUCACUCUUUUUUAAAAAUUCAUAAAAGUGAUAUCCACUCACGGAAAUAAAGUGAAACAGUACAGGAAGUCCAAGUUGCCCAUUUGAAUUCCCCAGGUGACACUCUGAGGCAACCAUUCUAUAGAUUGAGAUAGAGUACACGUGUGUGGAUAUGUGGGUGUAUAACAUGAACGUAUCUAAAGGGAGUCAUGAUCAUACCAGAUACAUACGGUUACAACCAGCCCCUUCCAAUUAAUUUACUUUGGACCUCUUUCUAAAUUCUCCUGUUGAGGAGUAUUUGGCUUGCUGCCUCAGUUUUUUGCUAACACAUGUUGGAAUGAACACCCUCAUACAUUUUUUCUUUUAAAUUCUCUUCCCAAUCUCCCCUCUCCCAGUCCACCCUCGUACAUAUUUUUUAAGUUUAUUUCUUUUGAGAGAAACAGAGACAGAGACAGAGACAGCGUGAACGGGGCAGGGGCAGAGAGGGAGAGAGAACCCCAAGCACUGUCAGUGCAGAGCCUCAGGCGGGACUCAAACUCACCAGCCAUGAGACCAUGAUCUGAGCAGAAACCAAGAGUCAGGCGCUUACCCCGCUGAGCCUAACUUAAGGAUGCUUAACCUACCCUCAUACAUUUUUCAUGACUUGGCUGAGACUACCUAGAGGAUACUUUCCUAGAAGUGGAAUUGCUGGAUGGAGGGGCAAAUGAGUCGAAAAUUUUCAUAGCCGUGGCUUAACCGCUCCUCCGAUCAGCUGUAUUCAUAAUUUAUGUAUCUGCCAUUAAUGUAAGAGAGAGAGCCUAUCUCCUCCAUCUUUAUCUAGAUUAUCUCUAAGUUCUGAAUCUUUGUUAAUAAAUCUGUGAAUAAAAUAGUUGGGGCUCCUGGUUAGCUCAGUUGGUUAAGCAUCUGACUCUGGAUUUCGGCUCGGGUCACGAUCUCGUGGUUUGUGGGUUUGAGCCCUGCGCUGGGCUUUGGGCUAGCAGUGUGGAGCCUGCCUGUGAUUCUCUCUCUCCCUCUCUCCCUGCCCCUCCCCUGCUCGUGCUCUCUCUCUCUCUCUCUUAAAAUAAAAAUGUAAGGGGCGCCUGGGUGGCGCAGUCGGUUAAGCGUCCGACUUCAGCCAGGUCACGAUCUCGCGCUCCGCGAGUUCGAGCCCCGCGUCAGGCUCUGGGCUGAUGGCUCAGAGCCUGGAGCCUGCUUCCGAUUCUGUGUUUCCCUCUCUCUCUGCCCCUCCCCCGUUCAUGCUCUGUCUCUCUCUGUCCCAAAAAUAAAAAUAAAACAUUGAAAAAAAAAAUUAAAAAAAAAAAAUGUAAAAGCCUGUUAAUAAAAUAGUUAAUCAUUCUUUAUUUAUUUUUAAUUUUUUAAGUUUAUGUAUUUAUUUUUGAAUAAAUAAUUCAGGAGGAUACCAGUAACAAAAAGACAGCCAAUAACAAGUGUUGACAAGGAUAUAGGUAUCGGAUCCAUCAAACAUUGCUGGUGUAAAAUGGUCAGCUACUCAAAAAACAAUCUAGCAGUUCCUCAAAGUUUAAUUUUUCUUUCUUUCUUUCUCUUUCUUUCUUUCUUUCUUUCUUUCUUUCUUUCUUUCUUUCUUUCUUUCUCUUUCCUUCUUUCUUUUCUUUUCUUUUUCAAAAAAUAUUUAUUUAUUUUUGAAAGCGCGAGAGAGACAGAGUGUGAGUGGGGGAGGGGCAGAGAGAGGGGGAGACACAGAAUCAGAAGCCGGCUCCGAGCUGUCAGCACAGAGCCUGACAUGGGGCUCAAACUCACAAACCACGAGAUCGUGACCUGAGCUGAAGUCAAGUCGCUCAACUGACUGAGCUGCCCAUGUGCCCCAGUUCCUCAAAAUACAAACAUAGAGUCACCACAUGACCCAGCAAUUCCACUCCUUGGUAUAUAUCCAAGAGAAAUAAAAACAUGUCUAUACAGGGUGCACCUUGGUGGCUCAGUCAGUUAAGCGUCUGAAACUGAUUUCAGCUUGGCUCAUGAUCUUACGGUUCAGGGGUUCAGAAGGUGGAAAAACACCCAAUGUCCAUCAGCUGAUGAAUGGAUAAACGACAUACGGUAUAUCCACAAAAUGGAGUAUUAUUUGGCAAUAUAAAGGAAUGAAGUACUAAUAAAAGCCACGUACUGACCAACCCACAGAGAAUACUAUAUCCAAUAGUGAAAGAUUGAAAGCUUUCCCUCCAAGGUCAUGAAUGAAGCAAGGAUGCCCACUUUCACCACUUCUAUUAAGUAAAAAAAAGAAAUAAAAGUCACCUAAAUUGGAAAGGAAGAAGUAAGAUUAUCUCUGUUUGCAGAGGAUAUGAUCUUAUAUGUAGAAAACUCUAAUGAUACCACAAAACACUUGUUAAAAUAAGUGAAUUCAUCAAAGUAAUAGGAUAAAGUCAACACACAAAAAUCAGUUGAGUUUCUAUACACAAACCAUGAACAAUCUGAAAAGGAAAUUACAAAACGAUUCUAUUUACAAUAGCAUCACAAAGAAAAAAGGACUUACAAACUAACUUAAUCAAGGAGGUAAAAGACUUGUACAAUGAAAACUACAAAACACUGCUAAAAGAAAUUAAAGACCUAAAUAAAAGGAAACAUAUCUCGUGUUCAUGGGUUAGAAGACUUAAUACUGUUAAAAUGUCAAUACUACCAAAGUGAUCUACAGAUUCAGUGCAAUUUCUAUCAACAUCCCAAUAACAUUUUUUUGCAAAAACAGAAAAGCUCAUCUUAAAAUUCAUACGGAAUCUGAGGGGAUCCUGAGUAGUCAAAAUAAUCCUGAGAAAGAACAAAACCGGAGAACUCCAAAUUUUCUGCUUUCAAAGUUUACCACAGAUGUACAGUAAUUAAUCAAAACAGUGUGGUACUGGCAUAAAGACAGACAUACAGACUAAUGGAAUAGAACUGAGUCUAGUAAUAAACCGCUGCAUAUCUGGUCACAUGCCUUUUUUUUUAAAAAAGAUUUUAUUUUUAAGUAAUGUGCACACCCAACACGGGGCUCAAACUCACAACUCUGAGAUCAAGAGUCACAUGUUCCCCUGACUGAGCCAGCCAGGAGCCCCUGGUCACAUGAGUUUUGACCACGGUGCCAAGACCAUUUAAUGGGGGAAAAGACAGUCUUUUCAACAAGUGAUGCUCGGACAACCAGGUAUCCACAUGCAAUAGAAUGCAGUUGACCCUCACUUCAUACCAUAUAUGAAAAUAUACUAUUACCUCCCCCCCCAAAGCUAGUCUUCGAUGAUUUCUCUGAAUUGUCUCAAAUAUUUUCCAUAAGGAUAAUGGUCUUUAUUUGGCAUAUUAGGUAAAUUAAGAUGUAUAAAUAAAUAACAUUACUUGUAUACAUAUAAAUAACCGUAUUUAUCUACAUACAUAUAAGUAGUCAAUAAUGUCAGGUCCCUUUUUAAAAAAAUGUUUUAUUUGAGUAUAGUUGACACAACACGUUAAUUAAUCCUCACUAUAAAUUUUGAAGGUCACAUUAAAAUUCCUUUUUCUUUUUUUUAAAAAUUUUUUAAUGUUUAUUUUUGAGAGAAAGAAAGAAAAAGAGUGCGAGAGGGGGAGGGGCAGAGAAAGAGAGGGAGACACAGAAUCCAAAGCAGGCUCCAGGCUCCAAGCUGUCAGCACAGAGCCUAACAUGGGGCUUGAACUCAAGAACUACAAGAUCAUGAACUGAGCCGAAGUUGGGACGCUUAAUUGACUGAGCCACCCAAGCACCCCUCCUUUUUAUUUUUCUUUCAUGUUUUUAUUUAUUUUUAAGAGAGAGCGAGCGAGCAUGAGUGGGGGAGAGGCAGGGAGAGGGAAGGCAGAGGAUCUGAAGCACUCACAGCAGACAGCCCUAUGUGGGGCUUGAACUCAGGAACUCGCGAUCAUGACCUGAGCCAAAGUCGAACUCUCAACUAAGUGAGCCACCCAGGUGUCCCAAUAUUCCCUUUUAGAUAAGGAUAUUGAGACUCAGAGAAGUCAAUUAGCUUGCACUCAGUGGAAUGUUGAUAGCAAAAGGGCAGAAAUGUGGCUUGUACUCAGUUUUUUCUCCCUCCAAAGUACAUGGUUUCUUACCACCAUUCCAUGUGGCAGUUAAAGACAUGGAUAAAUCAAAGGAAAUUCUGUCCUUUUGGCCAGAACAAAGGGCUGGCUACUCAGUUUGAGGCUGCGAACAAAGUUCAGAAUGCUGGCUUACUCCAGGAGUAGGAUUUUAUACAUAUUAUAAGUAAUCAGUUCAAAAUGACUACUGGGAGAGCCAAAGUACAAAUUUAACUACAGUUCCACCCAAUGAGCACCGCAGUUGGGCACGGGACCAACAGAUCAUAUUUUCUUGCCCCCCAAAUAUCUCCCUCACAAAUCUAAAUAUAUAUAUAGUAAAUUAUCCCUCUCAUUAAUAUCUACACUAUAGAGACAUAUUUGCCCCCAAAUAUCUCCCUCACAAAUGUAUCUAUAUCUAAUCUAUCUCUAUCUCUAUACGUAGAUAUGUAUAUUAUAAAUCAUCUGUCUGAUUAAUAUCUAGAAUGUAGAGACAACUUUUAUUAUUUUUUUUAUUUAUUUAUUUUUUCAACGUUUAUUUAUUUUUGGGACAGAGAGAGACAGAGCAUGAACAGGGGAGGGGCAGAGAGAGGGAGACACAGAAUCGGAAGCAGGCUCCAGGCUCUGAGCCAUCAGCCCAGAGCCCGACGCGGGGCUCGAACUCACGGACCGCGAGAUCGUGACCUGGCUGAAGUCGGACGCUUAACCGACUGCGCCACCCAGGCGCCCCUAGAGACAACUUUUAAAACUCAACCAUAACAACAAUAAUAACAACAGGGGCACCUGGGUGGCUCAGUCGGUUGGGAGUCUGACUUCAGCUCAGGUCAUGAUCAUGCAGUUCGUGAGUUCGAGCUCUGUGCUGACAGCUCAGAGCCUGGAGCCUGCUUCAAAUUCUGUGUCUCCCUCUCUCUCUGCCUCUCUCCCUCUCGCACUCUGUCCAUCUCCCUCUCUCUCUCAAAAAUAAAUAAACAUUAAAAACAACAACAACAACAAAGCCUGAUUAAGAAACAAGCAAAGGCCUUAAACGGAAGCCUUCAUUUUUUCCAAAGAAGACCUACAAAUAGCCAAUAAGCCCAUGUAAAGAUGCUCAACAUCACGAAUCAUUAGGGAAAUGUAAAUCGAAACUAUAAUGAGAUACCAUUUCACAUCCCUUUAGCUGGCUUCUAUCAAAAAAAAAAAGAGGAGGUGAAGAAAUUGGAACCUUCGGGCACUGCUGGUGGGCAUGUAAAAUGGUGCAGCCACUGGGGAAACUAGUAUGGUGGUUCCUUAAAAAAUUAAAAAUGGAAUUGCCAUUAAAAAAAAACAAAAAACAAUGAUCCAGCAAUUCAACUUCUGGGUAUAUGCCUCCCGGAAAUGGAAAGCAAGGUCUUUUUUUUUUUUUUUUUUAAUAGGAACUAUUUUAUUUAUUGAUUGAUUUUUUGAGAGCAGGGGAGAGGGGCAGAGAGAGAGAGAGAAUCUUGAGCAGACUCCACAACCAGGGUGGAGCCUGAUGCGGGGCUCAAUCCCACGACCCUGGGAUCAUGACCUGAGCCAAAACCAAGAGUUGGACGCUUAACUGACUGAGCCCCGCAGGGGCCCUGGACAGUAGGGUCUUGAAUAGAUAUCUAUACACCCACAUUCACAGCAGAACGAUUCACAAUGGCUAAAAUGUGGAAGCAACAAGCAUCCGUGGAUGGGUGAAUCAAUCAGCAAACGGUGACAUAUAAAUACAGUGAAAUAUUAUUCAGCCUUAAAAAGGAAGGAAAUUUUGCACUCUGCUACAGCAUGGAUGAAUCUUGAGGGCAUGAUGCUAAGUGAGAUGAGCCAGUCCACUUAUCGCAUAAUUCCAUUUACAUGAGGUACUGAAAGUAAUCAAAAUCCAUACAGACAGAAAGGAGAAUGGUGGUUGCCGGGGGCAGGAGACAAUGGGGAAAGGGGAGUUUCAGUUUCACGAGAAGAAAAGUUAUGGGAUGGAUGGAUGGUUGCAUUUAACACCAGUGAAUUGUACACUUAAAAAUGGGUUACUCUGGAAAAAAAUAAGGUUAAGUUGAUAAACUUACGUUAUGUGAAUUUUACCUCAAUAAAAAAAUUCAUCUGUUUAAAAAAAAAAAAAAAGAAAGAAAACAAUGGAGCUCCUGGGUGGCUCAGUCGGUUAAGCAUCCAACUUUGGCUCAGGUCACCAUCUUGUGGUUCCUGAGUUCGAGCCCUGUAUUGGGCUUGUUGCCAGCGUGGAGCCUGCUUCAGAUCCUCUGUCCCUCUCUCUCUGCCCCUCCCCCGCUCACUUGUGUACGCGUGCGUGCUCUCUCAAAAAUAAGCAUAAAAAAAAAAGAAAAAGAAUACAAUAAAGUACUGAUGCAACAUUACAGCAGAGAGAAAGUUUGAAAGCACUAUGUUAAAUCAAAGAAUCCAGAGGCGUCUGGGUGGCUCAGUUGGUUGAGCGUCCGAUUUCGACUCAGAUCACGAUCUCAUGGUUUGUGAGUUCAAGCCCUGCAGCGGUCUCAGUGCUGACAGCUCGGAGCCUGGAGCCUGCUUUGGAUUCUGUGUCUCCUUCUCUCUCUGCCCCUCCCCUGCUUGCACUCUGUCUCUCUCUCAAAAGUAAAUAAACAUUAAAUAAAUAAAUCAAAGAAACCAGUCAUAAAAGGCCAUAUAAUUGUAUGAUUCCAUACAAAUACCUAGAGACAGAAAGUAGAUCAAUGGUGGUGGGUGUUGGAGCUGAGGAGUGACUGCUAAUGAGUAUGGAGUUUCUUGAAGGGAUGAUGAAAACGUUCUGGAAUUAUACCCUAGUGAUGGUUGCACAACUCUGCGAAUACACUAAAAGCCAUUGAACCGUAUGCUUUAUUAUUAUUAUUUUUUAAUGUUUAUUUUUGGGAGAGAGAGAGAGACAAAGUGUGAGCGGGGGAGGGGCAGAGAGAGACGGGGACACAGAAUCCGAAGCAGGAUCCAGGCUCUGAGAUGUCAGCACAGAGCCUGAUGAGGGGCCCAAACUCACAAAUCACAAGAUCAUGACCUGAGCUGACGUCGGAUGCUUAACCGACUGAGCCACCCAGGUGCCGUGAACUGUAUGCUUUAAAUGGGUGUGCUGUAUACCAUAAGAAUUCCAUUUUCUUUUUUUAAAAGUUUGACAUUUUUGUAGAAUCAACUCUACAGUUUUAGACCAACAAGCUACCAGAAUACUCUGAGACAGAGUAUUCAGAAUAAAAUGACCACUGCGGCCGUUACCUGCAAAUGAGAGCUGCUUUAGGCGGGCAUUUGAUCGAGCUUCCUGGACUUUAUCUGUCAGUGACUUCCAGGCAUCUGUGCAGAAAUGAA
rnacentral:lncRNA from 1 species